rnacentral:rRNA from 1 species
ACGAACGCUGGCGGCAUGGUUUAGGCAUGCAAGUCGUGCGUGAACCGGGGAGCANCCCCGGGGAAAGCGGCGGAAGGGUGAGUAUUAUAUAGAUAACUUGCCUCCUAGAUUGGGAUAAUCCUCUGAAAAGAGGCCUAAUACCGAAUGUGGAGAUUAAGGCGCCUGCCUUUUUCUUUAAAGCUGGGGACCUUCGGGCCUGGCACUAGGAGAGAGAUCUAUAUCCUAUUAGCUUGUUGGUGAGGUAACGGCCCACCAAGGCAAUGAUGGGUAGCCGACCUGAGAGGGUGCACGGUCACACUGGGACUGAGACACUGCCCAGACUCCUACGGGAGGCUGCAGUCGCGAAUCAUUCGCAAUGGGCGAAAGCCUGACGAUGCAAUGCCGCGUGGACGAUGAAGGCCUUCGGGUUGUAAAGUCCUUUCGGGAGGUAGAAAACGCCCUGUACUAAUACUACAGGACUUGAUUUAAACUCCUAAAGAAGCUCCGGCUAACUCUGUGCCAGCAGCUGCGGUAAUACAGAGAGAGCGAGCGUUGUUCGGAAUCACUGGGCAUAAAGCGCACGUAGGCGGCUUGUGAAGUUGAUGGUGAAAGCCUUGGGCUUAACUCAAGAAUGUCCAUCAAAACCAACAAGCUUGAGGGUGGGAGGGGUGACUGGAAUUCCUGGUGGAGCGGUGAAAUGCGUAGAGAUCAGGAGGAACGCCGGAGGCGAAAGCGAGUCACUGGUCCAUACCUGACGCUGAGGUGCGAAAGCUAGGGGAGCAAACAGGAUUAGAUACCCUGGUAGUCCUAGCUGUAAACGAUGGGUACUAGGAUGGGGUGCAUCAAGCGUCCCAUUCGGAGCUAAUGCAUUAAGUACCCCGCCUGGGGAGUAUGGUCGCAAGGCUAAAACUCAAAGGAAUUGACGGGGGCUCACACAAGCGGUGGAGUAUGUGGUUUAAUUCGACGCAACGCGCAGAACCUUACCCGGCCUUGACUUGUAAGAAUUAUGGAGGUGAAAGCCUCCAGACACCCGCAAGGGCGGAACUUACACAGGUGUUGCAUGGCUGUCGUCAGCUCGUGUCGUGAGAUGUCGGGUUAAGUCCCAUAACGAGCGAAACCCUUGUCUUUAGUUGCCAGCGGAUAAUGCCGGGGACUCUAAAGAGACUGCCUGUGUUAAGCAGGAGGAAGGUGGGGAUGACGUCAAGUCCUCAUGGCCUUUAUGGCCGGGGCUACACACGUACUACAAUGGACAGCACAAAGGGUAGCCAAGCAGUAAUGCGGAGCCAAUCCCAAAAAUCUGUUCUCAGUUCGGAUAGAAGGCUGCAAUUCGCCUUCUUGAAGCCGGAAUCGCUAGUAAUCGCGGAUCAGUACGCCGCGGUGAUAUGAUCCUGAGCAUUGUACACAC